rnacentral:rRNA from 1 species
CCUACGGGUGGCAGCAGUGAGGAAUAUUGGUCAAUGGACGAGAGUCUGAACCAGCCAAGUAGCGUGAAGGAUGACUGCCCUAUGGGUUGUAAACUUCUUUUGCCGGGGAGCAGAGGUCCGGACGUGUCCGGGCCGGGAGAGUACCCGGAGAAAAAGCAUCGGCUAACUCCGUGCCAGCAGCCGCGGUAAUACGGAGGAUGCGAGCGUUAUCCGGAUUUAUUGGGUUUAAAGGGUGCGUAGGCGGGCAUUUAAGCCGGCGGUCAAAUGUCGGGGCUCAACCCCGGCCUGCCGUCGGAACUGGGGGCCUUGAGUGGGCGAGAAGUAGGCGGAAUGCGUGGUGUAGCGGUGAAAUGCAUAGAUAUCACGCAGAACCCCGAUUGCGAAGGCAGCAUACCGGCGCCCUACUGACGCUGAGGCACGAAAGUGCGGGUAUCGAACAGGAUUAGAUACCCUGGUAGUC